CCCCUGGUGGUCUAGUGGUUAGGAUGUGGUGCUCUUACCGCUGCGGCCCGGGUUCGAUUCCCGGUCAGGGAA